rnacentral:tRNA from 1 species
GGGAUAGCCUAAUGGUAAAGGCACUCGACUAUUAAUCGAGCAGUCAAACGGCUUUUCCACUCGGGCGUUUCAUUCUUCUCUGACAGCAUUUGCGUCCAGCCGAAGAGGCCAUACACGCCCAUUGGCUCUCGGGGUCGCCGGUUCGAACCCGGCUUUCCUCC